CCUGGAUGGGAGGAUCCCUACCUCGGGGAGGUCUGAGUGGGGGAUCCCUGUCCAUGGGUGAGGUAUGGUGGGGAGAUCCCUGGGCAUCCCUGUCUGGGGGAACUGGGGGUGGGUGAUCCCUGGGAAUCCCUGUCUGGUGGAAAUCUAGGUAGGCGAUCCUCAGGAACAGGUGAGGGAUUGCAGCAUGGGGGAGCUGGGGGGUGCUGGGAUCCCUGCGUGGGGAGAGCCUGGGUGGGGGAUCCCUGGGAAUCCUCGUGUGGGGAGAGUCUUGGUGAAGGAUCCCUGGGAAUCCUGUGUGAGGGAGUCUGGGUGGGUGAUCCCCGGGGAUCCCCACGUGGGGAGAAUCUCGGUGGGUGAUCCCCGGGGAUCUCCGUGUGAGGGAGCCUGGGUGGAUGAUCCCUGCGUGGGGAGAGUCUCGGUGGGUGAUCCCCGGGGAUCUCCGUGUGAGGGAGCCUGGGUGGAUGAUCCCUGCGUGGGGAGAGUCUCGGUGGGUGAUCCCCGGGGAUCUCCGUGUGAGGGAGCCUGGGUGGGUGCUCCCUGCGUGGGGAGAGCCUGGUUGGGUGAUUCCCGGGGAUCCCCGCGUGGUGUGGGCGAACCUCAGGACGAGGUGAGGGAUCCCCGCGUGGGGAGCUCGGGGGGCGAUCCCCGAGCGCACGGGCGAUGCACCCACACCCGCGGCACAGCCGGGCGGGCGCUCCCCGCUGCCGGGGCUCCCCGUGCCGGGCCGGGCCGGGCCGUGCCGGUGCCUUUAACGCGCGGGGGGGCGGCCGCAGGCGCGGCGGACGUGCGGGGCCGCCUCCUCCCCUUCCUGCCGCCCGCGCCGCGCAGCACCGGCCGCUCCCGCUCCGUCCCCGCAGCCCCGGCCCGGCACGGCCCUGCCCUGCCCGCCGUCUCGGAUGGGAACAGUAACUGGGUCUGUGCACGGCCUGGGACAGAUGCAGCUUGUUCCCCUUUCACAGAAUGACUAAAGGGAUGUUGUGAGGUCUGGAAUUUACGGGUGAGACGGGAGCAUGUCUGCAAGGGGGGAGCCUGGCACGGGUGCUGCACUCUGAGAAACGUGAUCAAGAGCAGGCUGAAUAUCAAAUGCAGAUGAAAGGUGAGUAUUUAACCAAAUACAUUGAAAUUUAAGUGUAGCUAAAAUCGCUGUGCCUCUGUAGGCAGUAGGGAGGGAUUGCUACUGGGAGUGCCUUACUUGGGAUUGUGGGUUUGGGUGGGUGGGGAGCUGGUGCAGCUGCCCUGGAGACUUUAAAGCUGCAAGUGAUAAAAGUCCCAUUGCAGCACUUCUUGGGGAGAAAUGCUUUUUUUUUUUUUUUUGUGAGACUGUAUCCUAACCAGGAUGGUAAGACUAAAUGGAGCAGUUAAGGUGGUAGGUGAAGGUGUGUCAAUGCAGCAUUUACUUUUUUUCUGCUUUAAUAGAAUGAGUUUCUUCAUCCUGUUUCUUUCUGCAUGGCAUAGAAUUUCCCGCCCCCUCCCCUAGAGAUUGGUUCUGUUUUUUACUAGAUGGCUUUUCAGUGAAAUACAAAUAUAGAAAUAUAAAUGGAAAUGAUGGAACUGUUGUAGUAAUUGUAGAUUGUCAGAGGACAACUGGAAACUGUGUGUGAGCCAAAACACUGCCAAUUUACCCCAUGGCAAGGAUGCCAC
rnacentral:lncRNA from 1 species